rnacentral:siRNA from 1 species
AAGGGAUCACCGUUGGUGGUGCUC